GCAGGAUUGGUGUAGUGGCUAUCACGUGUCGUUCACAUUAGAUGAACAUUUUCCGACAAGGUCGCGAGUUCGAUCCUCGCAUCCUGUA